rnacentral:rRNA from 1 species
GAUUAAGUUAUUAAGGGCGCACGGUGGAUGCCUUGGCACUAGAAGCCGACGAAGGACGUUACUAACGACGAUAUGCUUUGGGUAGCUGUAAGUAAGCGUUGAUCCAGAGAUUUCCGAAUGGGGGAACCCAGCACGAGUUAUGUCGUGUUAUCGACAAGUGAAUUCAUAGCUUGUCAGAAGGCAGACCCGGAGAACUGAAACAUCUUAGUACCCGGAGGAAGAGAAAGAAAAAUCGAUUCCCUGAGUAGCGGCGAGCGAAACGGGAAGAGCCCAAACCAAUAAGCUUGCUUAUUGGGGUUGUAGGACACUCUAUACGGAGUUACAAAGGAAUAUAUUAGACGAAUCAUCUGGAAAGUUGAAUCAAAGAAGGUAAUAAUCCUGUAGUUGAAAAUAUAUUCUCUCUUGAGUGGAUCCUGAGUACGACGGAGCACGUGAAAUUCCGUCGGAAUCUGGGAGGACCAUCUCCUAAGGCUAAAUACUCUCUAGUGACCGAUAGUGAACCAGUACCGUGAGGGAAAGGUGAAAAGUACCCCAGAAGGGGAGUGAAAGAGAACUUGAAACCGUGUGCUUACAAGUAGUCAGAGCCCGUUAAUGGGUGAUGGCGUGCCUUUUGUAGAAUGAACCGGCGAGUUACGAUCUGAUGCAAGGUUAAGCAGGAGAUGUGGAGCCGUAGCGAAAGCGAGUCUGAAUAGGGCGUUGAGUAUUUGGUCGUAGACCCGAAACCAGGUGAUCUACCCAUGGUCAGGUUGAAGUUCAGGUAACACUGAAUGGAGGACCGAACCGACUUACGUUGAAAAGUGAGCGGAUGAACUGUGGGUAGCGGAGAAAUUCCAAUCGAACUUGGAGAUAGCUGGUUCUCUCCGAAAUAGCUUUAGGGCUAGCCUCAAGUGAUGAUUAUUGGAGGUAGAGCACUGUUUGGACGAGGGGCCCCUCUCGGGUUACCGAAUUCAGACAAACUCCGAAUGCCAAUUAAUUUAACUUGGGAGUCAGAACAUGGGUGAUAAGGUCCGUGUUCGAAAGGGAAACAGCCCAGACCACCAGCUAAGGUCCCAAAAUAUAUGUUAAGUGGAAAAGGAUGUGGCGUUGCCCAGACAACUAGGAUGUUGGCUUAGAAGCAGCCAUCAUUUAAAGAGUGCGUAAUAGCUCACUAGUCGAGUGACACUGCGCCGAAAAUGUACCGGGGCUAAACAUAUUACCGAAGCUGUGGAUUGUCCGUAGGACAAUGGUAGGAGAGCGUUCUAAGGGCGUUGAAGCAUGAUCGCAAGGACAUGUGGAGCGCUUAGAAGUGAGAAUGCCGGUGUGAGUAGCGAAAGACGGGUGAGAAUCCCGUCCACCGAUUGACUAAGGUUUCCAGAGGAAGGCUCGUCCGCUCUGGGUUAGUCGGGUCCUAAGCUGAGGCCGACAGGCGUAGGCGAUGGAUAACAGGUUGAUAUUCCUGUACCACCUAGCAUCGUUUUAAUCGAUGGGGGGACGCAGUAGGAUAGGCGAAGCGUACGAUUGGAUUGUACGUCCAAGCAGUGAGAUUGAGUGUUAGGCAAAUCCGGCACUCUUAAGAUUGAGCUGUGAUGGGGAGAGGAAAUUGUUUCCUCGAGUCGUUGAUUUCACACUGCCGAGAAAAGCCUCUAGAUAGAUAAUAGGUGCCCGUACCGCAAACCGACACAGGUAGUCAAGAUGAGAAUUCUAAGGUGAGCGAGCGAACUCUCGUUAAGGAACUCGGCAAAAUGACCCCGUAACUUCGGGAGAAGGGGUGCUCUUUAGGGUGCAAGCCCAGAAGAGCCGCAGUGAAUAGGCCCAAGCGACUGUUUAUCAAAAACACAGGUCUCUGCUAAACCGUAAGGUGAUGUAUAGGGGCUGACGCCUGCCCGGUGCUGGAAGGUUAAGAGGAGUAGUUAGCUUCUGCGAAGCUACGAAUCGAAGCCCCAGUAAACGGCGGCCGUAACUAUAACGGUCCUAAGGUAGCGAAAUUCCUUGUCGGGUAAGUUCCGACCCGCACGAAAGGCGUAACGAUUUGGGCACUGUCUCAACGAGAGACUCGGUGAAAUCAUAGUACCUGUGAAGAUGCAGGUUACCCGCGACAGGACGGAAAGACCCCGUGGAGCUUUACUGUAGCCUGAUAUUGAAAUUCGGCACAGCUUGUACAGGAUAGGUAGGAGCCUUUGAAACGUGAGCGCUAGCUUACGUGGAGGCGCUGGUGGGAUACUACCCUAGCUGUGUUGGCUUUCUAACCCGCACCACUUAUCGUGGUGGGAGACAGUGUCAGGCGGGCAGUUUGACUGGGGCGGUCGCCUCCUAAAAGGUAACGGAGGCGCUCAAAGGUUCCCUCAGAAUGGUUGGAAAUCAUUCAUAGAGUGUAAAGGCAUAAGGGAGCUUGACUGCGAGACCUACAAGUCGAGCAGGGUCGAAAGACGGACUUAGUGAUCCGGUGGUUCCGCAUGGAAGGGCCAUCGCUCAACGGAUAAAAGCUACCCCGGGGAUAACAGGCUUAUCUCCCCCAAGAGUUCACAUCGACGGGGAGGUUUGGCACCUCGAUGUCGGCUCAUCGCAUCCUGGGGCUGUAGUCGGUCCCAAGGGUUGGGCUGUUCGCCCAUUAAAGCGGUACGCGAGCUGGGUUCAGAACGUCGUGAGACAGUUCGGUCCCUAUCCGUCGUGGGCGUAGGAAAUUUGAGAGGAGCUGUCCUUAGUACGAGAGGACCGGGAUGGACAUACCUCUGGUGUACCAGUUGUCGUGCCAACGGCAUAGCUGGGUAGCUAUGUAUGGACGGGAUAAGUGCUGAAAGCAUCUAAGCAUGAAGCCCCCCUCAAGAUGAGAUUUCCCAACUUCGGUUAUAAGAUCCCUCAAAGAUGAUGAGGUUAAUAGGUUCGAGGUGGAAGCGUGGUGACACGUGGAGCUGACGAAUACUAAUCGAUUGAAGACUUAAUCAA